ACCAAGGCGACGAUCCGUAGCUGGUCUGAGAGGAUGAUCAGCCACACUGGAACUGAGACACGGUCCAGACUCCUACGGGAGGCAGCAGUGGGGAAUAUUGGACAAUGGGCGCAAGCCUGAUCCAGCCAUGCCGCGUGGGUGAAGAAGGCCUUCGGGUUGUAAAGCCCUUUUGUUGGGAAAGAAAAGCAGUCGGUUAAUACCCGAUUGUUCUGACGGUACCCAAAGAAUAAGCACCGGCUAACUUCGUGCCAGCAGCCGCGGUAAUACGAAGGGUGCAAGCGUUACUCGGAAUUACUGGGCGUAAAGCGUGCGUAGGUGGUUUGUUAAGUCUGAUGUGAAAGCCCUGGGCUCAACCUGGGAAUUGCAUUGGAUACUGGCAGGCUAGAGUGCGGUAGAGGGUAGUGGAAUUCCCGGUGUAGCAGUGAAAUGCGUAGAGAUCGGGAGGAACAUCCGUGGCGAAGGCGACUACCUGGACCAGCACUGACACUGAGGCACGAAAGCGUGGGGAGCAAACAGGAUUA
rnacentral:rRNA from 1 species